AUGAACGCUAGCGGCAGGCCUCAUCCCUGCAAGUCGAACGGGAUCCAGAUCAAAGCUUGCUUUGGUCUGGUGAGAGUGGCGCACGGGUGCGUAACGCGUGAGCAACCUACCCUUGUCAGGGGGAUAGCCCGGCGAAAGUCGGAUUAAUACCGCAUGACAUCAUUGAGAGGCAUCUUUCGAUGAUCAAAGAUUUAUCGGACAAGGAUGGGCUCGCGUGACAUUAGCUAGUUGGUAAGGUAACGGCUUACCAAGGCUGCGAUGUCUAGGGGCUCUGAGAGGAGAAUCCCCCACACUGGUACUGAGACACGGACCAGACUCCUACGGGAGGCAGCAGUAAGGAAUAUUGGUCAAUGGACGGAAGUCUGAACCAGCCAUGCCGCGUGCAGGAGGACGGCCCUAUGGGUUGUAAACUGCUUUUAUACGGGAACAAACGUCGGUACGUGUACCGGUCUGAGUGUACCGUAAGAAUAAGGAUCGGCUAACUCCGUG
rnacentral:rRNA from 1 species